UGUGUGUGUGUGUGUGUGUGUGUGUGUGUGUAUAUAUAUACACAUACAUAUAUACACACACACACAUACACU